AUGCAUGUUGCGAAAAGUCACUUUUGGCAACGUUCAGCGAACGUUGUUGAAAAAACAUUAUAGCAACGUUCAUUGAACGUUGCUAAAAGUGACUUCUCGCAACGUUAAG
rnacentral:miRNA from 1 species